CGCAUCUGUGCAUGCAGCAUAUCAAUAAGCGGAGGAAAAGAAACUAACAAGGAUUCCCUAGUAACGGCGAGUGAAGCGGGAAGAGCUCAAAUUUGAAAUCUUCAAGGGUUUACCUUGACGAAUUGUAGUUUAAAGAAGUGUUUUCUGUUGAGGUUUUGGUAAAAGUUCUUUGGAAUAGGACAUCAUAGAGGGUGAGAAUCCCGUAUUUGACCAUUACUUUCAAGCUGUGUGAUACACUUUCAAAGAGUCGGAUUGUUUGGGAAUGCAGUCCAAAAUGGGUGGUAAAUUUCAUCUAAAGCUAAAUAUUGGCGAGAGACCGAUAGCGAACAAGUACCGUGAGGGAAAGAUGAAAAGAACUUUGAAAAGAGAGUUAAACAGUACGUGAAAUUGUCAAAAGGGAAGCGUUUGACACCAGUGUUGUUUUCUCGAAAAUCAAUUAAAAGAGUUUGAUUUUGUUGUGUAUUGACCUUAACAGCUUGCAUUUCAAUUUUCUUGCUUUUUUUAAUGCACUUUUCGUUUAACAAGUCAACAUCAGUUUCUUUUGUUGUAAAAAGGUCAUUGGAAGGUGGCUUUCUUUUCGGAGAAAGUGUUUAUAGCCUUUGACUCCUGCAAUCGGAGAGACUGAGGUCUGCAGCGUAGAUCCUUCGGGGUUAGAUACAUUGUGCUAAGUUAUAGCUUUUCAUAGACAACUUGUUGACUAUGAUUUAGUCAUGCGGCUUACUCGCUUAUGUUAUUUUACCUACGCUUAGGAUGUUGAUCUCUCACAGUCGAGC
rnacentral:rRNA from 1 species